UACGUAGGGUGCAAGCGUUGUCCGGAAUUAUUGGGCGUAAAGAGCUCGUAGGCGGCCUGUCACGUCGGCUGUGAAAACUCGGGGCUUAACUCCGGGCCUGCAGUGGGUACGGGCAGACUAGAGUGCGGUAGGGGAGACUGGAAUUCCUGGUGUAGCGGUGAAAUGCGCAGAUAUCAGGAGGAACACCGGUGGCGAAGGCGGGUCUCUGGGCCGUAACUGACGCUGAGGAGCGAAAGCGUGGGGAGCGAACAGG
rnacentral:rRNA from 1 species